GAUGAACGCUGGCUACAGGCUUAACACAUGCAAGUCGAGGGGAAACGACGGGGAAGCUUGCUUCCCCGGGCGUCGACCGGCGCACGGGUGAGUAACGCGUAUCCAACCUGCCUCUGACUGAGGGAUAACCCGUCGAAAGUCGGCCUAAUACCUCAUGGUAUCGUCUGCGGGCAUCCAACGACGAUUAAAGAUUUCAUCGGUCAGGGAUGGGGAUGCGUCUGAUUAGCUUGUUGGCGGGGUAACGGCCCACCAAGGCUACGAUCAGUAGGGGUUCUGAGAGGAAGGUCCCCCACAUUGGAACUGAGACACGGUCCAAACUCCUACGGGAGGCAGCAGUGAGGAAUAUUGGUCAAUGGGCGAGAGCCUGAACCAGCCAAGUAGCGUGCAGGAAGACGGCCCAAUGGGUUGUAAACUGCUUUUAUGCGGGGAUAAAGUGAGGGACGUGUCCCUCAUUGCAGGUACCGCAUGAAUAAGGACCGGCUAAUUCCGUG
rnacentral:rRNA from 1 species